AGGUAGAACCAAUAGUUCUGAACUGCCCAUUCUCUUAAAUGUUCUCGUAUUGUUUUAUUGAAUGGUUCUUGUGUUGUUUUAUUGAAUUGUCUAGUGGUUUUGUUAUGGCCAGGUAUUACAUUAGAACUUCUUUUGUUGCCUUCCCUGCAGGUACUUUUGAUAUAAAAGUAGUCAGAAAUAGACAAAUGUGCAUGAUCCGUAAUUUUAUUGAGAAUUAAUAUGUAUACUCUUUUUUUUUUCUUGUAAUAAUCUUGUUAUUACUAUAGUGUGAUACAUUUAAUCAGACAGUAGACAUCCAACUGGCCUGAUUUAUUACCAUAAUAGAAUGAAUCUGAGAGGCAUGACCCAAGUAGAUGGAUCAUACCCUUGGAUGAUUAUCUUCUGUCACGAUAGUCAUUAAUUGAACUUGAUAAGUUUCUACAUCAGUCACAUAAGCAAUGGGGGACAUAAGAUUUAUACUUUGGAGGGAGUUAGUGUAAUUGUUUUGGAAAAUAAAAAUUAUUUUCUAACUGAUCUUUAUGGGUUUCUAGUGAUUAAAUAUUCUAUCACUGAAUGUUCCUAUAUAUUUUUCUUCAUGUUUAUGUCACUGUUUUGUUUGUAAAUCUCAACGUCAAUUUCACCCUGGGAAUGUAUAUAUGAUCAUAUAUACAAAAUAGAUAUUUUAAUACUGCAUACUGUACAGAAGCCUUUUACAGUUUUAUCAUGAUUCUUGGGACAUUCAAUGCCAUGAUGGUUGCAUUUUCAUCUGUUAUAAACUAUAACCAUUAGCCCCAGUUUCCAUAUCGUAAUAAUUUCUGUAUCGUGGAAUAUUUACCCUAAGUUCCUUCUAUUUUAGGUUGGUCACCUGUUGAUCUUGGGCCUAGGUCAUUGGAUGAUAUAAAGUCUUUACUUAUGAAAUGCAAGGUAAAAACAAUAAUUAGUCCUCUAUGCAGAAGGUAAAAACAGUUAAGUUUUUGUAAAGUAUCUUAAGGCGUGGCCAUUCUUUUAAGUUUGUCCAAAUCAGUACCUUGUUUUUUAAGUAAUCCAACAGUUUUUGUGGGGGAUGGUAUAGUCUUGGUGCAUUAGGUGAUUCUUCACUAGUAGCAUUUAUCUACUUCACAUUGAUAUAACUCUAGUUUGUCUACAAACCUAGUAUGCUGGACGUGUAUAUGAGAUAGAAAAAUAUAUUCCUUUCUAUGUUGCUCCUUCACAAUUGUUUCCUUUGCAUUAUGUGCAAUUCAUGUAAUUUGUGUCACACAGGAUGCAAGAUAUAAAAGGUUUAAGUUUUCUUAUCUGUUAUUAGUAUUAACUACAGGCUAAAAUUGAGGAAAAUUUUUCUGUGCAAUAUUUAUCGUGAAGUAAAUUAAUCAUAAUGGGUAAAUUACACUCAACUCAACUCAAUAUUCACCUUUGCUACGAAUGCACUCAUGUAUCUAGUCUUUCUUAUAAUGAAUUCAAUUUUAUUGCACUUUUUCUCAUGCUUAGACCUAUCUGAUACUUUCCACUUGAUGAAUUGCAGAAAAUUAUAUGGAUUGGUCCACUGAAAUUCAAAUUAUCAAGUCCAUGUAUAAAUGAAGCAUCUAAAUUGGCUAGAAUGCUUGAUGAACUAAGUCAACAAAAUUGCGAUGUGACUGUUGUAGGGAAGAUGGCAUACAAAACCAUAAUGAUGGAAUCAAGUUCUCUUUCGGCUUAUAGCAUAAUUGAGAGUGGCUCAGUUGCAUGGGAGUUUUUCAAAGGAAGGAAGCUUCCUGGAAUCAUGGCCUUAGAUAGAGCACAUCCAUUCAAGAUUGAUUGGUGUUCUGCUUACAAUGAUCCAGCUCAACCAUUGAUAGUUGAUAUCGGAAGUGGUACUGGACUUUUUCUUCUGGGAAUGGCUAGAAGAAGAAAAGAUUUAAAUUUUCUGGGAUUAGAGAUCAACAAAAAGGUCUUUUGCAUUCUGUCCAGAUUCUUUUAGAGAAGCCCUCCUCUCUACAAAAGUUUUUGACUUCUGUUGUUUCCUAUUUUAUAGCUUGUAACACGUUGUCUGGAUUCCGUUCAUCAGUCUGGCAUUUUCAAUGGGUAUGGUUCUUGCCUCCCACUCUGAAAAUUUUAUGCACUGCUGAAAAAAAGUAACUUGUUAUCACUAAUAUACUUUCACAUUCAGUUUAUUUAACAUCAUCUUCCCAGGAAAUCUUUUUAAAUCAUUGCCCAUUUAAAUUAGAUUAACUUUUUGCUUGAGCCUUUACUUCAUCAUAUCUGAACAUAUUGCUGGGCCUUAUUCUCAUUCUAGCAGAUUAAAAAUAUUUAUUAUUACCACUGGAGUAUGAACUUGUGUUUUGGUUUAUCAUCUUAUGUGUUUCUUUCAUUGCAUGUAUAGGCACUUCAUUGCAACAAAUGCAACAACAACAUUUCGUUCCAUAGUUUCUAGUUAUCCAGGACAGUUAGUCCUUGUCUCAAUACAGGUAGAGGACACAAUAUUCUGUCAACUUCGUGUGCUUGUGAUUCUUGUCACCUGAUUAUUUGUCUACGAAGAAUAAAAAUUGAAUUUCUGAACUAGCUAAUUGAUAUUCUCCUUGUGCAACAUUUUCUCCACAUUGAAAUCAUCAUAACAAUAACUUGUAUUUUGGGAUGGACAUCAUUACCAGUUGCCAUUGUAGUGAUUGUGAUUAUUUACUGCUGCCAAACUUCAAUGGCAUUUACUGUUACUAGUUACUACCUCUGUUACCAACCUCAGCCACUUUUUGCAAGUAAUUGUGGAUUGUUCGUGGGUUCUCACAGCUGCUGAACAUUAUCUUCCCUCUACUAAAUUUCAUAUCAUGAUAUGUCGUUUGAGAAUUUACCAUUGAUCACCAUGCUAUAUGCUGUUUUUAUAAUCUAUCCUGCAAUUAUUAUAAUUCUCCUCAACUGGGGGAAUUAACCAGGAAAAAAUCAUAGAAAGUAAUUCAUUCUUCCUUUCCUUCCAUUUGGCACCAAUCAUUGUAAGGAUUGCAAGCUGCCAAAAAAAAUUACAGAAACAUUUUUGUUUCUUUUUCUUUUGACAGAAUUUGAAUAUAUGGGGGUUUUGUUGAUUUCAUAAUUUUUCCUGGAUCAGUUUGGUAUCUUCCAACUUAGUUCACCUUGCAACAAAUUCAUAAUUAGUAUUCUCUCUUCUGAUGAGAACGUUGGGAAAAUGGUGAAUGAAAGAGGUAGGAAAGAAAGUAACUUUUGCCCAAUUAGUUUCCUUGAAUAUGACGUUGAAGGUGAGAAAUCAAAGUAGAUAAAUGGGCACGUAGUUUCAUUCCUUAUUCUGUCUCAACUGGCAAGUUUAGGUACUUUUAACUGAUCUCUAUUGUCUUGUUCAGUGCCCAAAUCCUGAUUUCAACAACCCAGAACAUAGAUGGAGAAUGUUGCAACAGUCAUUGAUUGAAGCUGUGAUAGAUCUGCUUGCACAAGAUGGGAAAGUAAAUACAAAAUUGUCAUGGCUUUGCUUCUGUACAGGUUAACUCAUCGUUAACCAUGAGCUCAGAUCAUUAUGAAUGCAAAACUGCUUGUUCAGGUUAUUUACAGAUUAUUUCUAUAUUACUCUGGGUUUUUCUGCAAUCUGAUGUAGAAGCAGUUGCAGUUAGAAUGAAAAAAUUAUCCCUGAAAUAUGGCAAGGGUAGGCUCACUCUUUUGGAUGACUGAUACAAUACAAAAAUUGAUAAAGAAGCAUGGCUCGAGGAGAAUCCUUUUGGAGUGAGA
rnacentral:misc_RNA from 1 species